AUGAAAAGACUCAGGCUGGAGAGGUCACUCAGUGGGUAAGAGCACAUGCCGCUCUACAGAGGCCCAGAUUUGGCUCCAAACACCAUGUUAGACAGCUCACAACUGCUUGUAACCCCAGCAGCAGGGGAGUCCUCUAGCCUGUAGGCACCUGCUCUCACAUGCACAUACACAGCAAAUUAGUGAAUCUCUUCAAAGAUGUUUAACUCCUGAUGGGCCUGGCCAUGUAGCUCAGCUGGUAAGAGUAUUUGUCUACUGUGCACAAGGCCCUGUGCUUGAGCCUCAUGGUGUCAUAAAAUGAGCAUGAUGGUGCAUGCCUAUAAGCCCAGCAUUUGAAGUGGAAGCAGGAUAAACUCAGGUCUUCCUUGGUCAUAUGGGCUAUAUAUGACUUGGUCUCAAAAACGGAGGAGGGGAGCUAAGGAUAUACACUUGCGUAGCAUAUGUGAGACCCUGGGCUCAAUCUCAGUAGGGGGAAGGGAGGAAGAUGACACUAAAGCCAAAACCAUAAACUAAGUACCUGCAUUCAACAGCUAGCUUCUUAGCUGGCAUGGUAGCUCAACCUAGCAGUCAGAGGCAGAGGCAAGAGGGGGCUGAGGCCAACUCCUACAUCAGCAGGCAAGUCAGUAAUUAAAAAACCAAACACUCCCACGAACUAGGCUUAGUGUCAGUAAAUUUCUCUUUGGCAAAUGUGUAUGGCCUGUAAAUACCACAUGAUAACCUUGAGGUUACUGAAGCAUCAUAGAUAGGAUCACCACUUGGCUGAAGGGAAAAGUGGGAGCUUGAGGGGCCUUGAGAAACACAAGAACAGAGUCUGUUGAAUGAAAAGCCUAGUGAGAGAAAUCACAAGGAGGAUGGGGAGGUUGGGUGGACUAGAGAUAGGAGUUCCUUGCACUUGACCUUAGCCAAAAGGCAAGGAACACUGGACAGCUAAAAUGAAAGCCACCGGAUGAUUGCUGUGCCUACAAACGUUUUGUGCAAGACGUCUAACAGAUUCCAGAAUACAUUAAGAUCGUGGGUAGCUCCUGAGCAAAAGCAUGGGGGCUACUCAGUGCCUAUAACCAGACCUAAAGUAGAAGAGCAUUGUGAGAAGCCCCGUGUGGUAGCUUUAAGCCCAGCACUCAGGAGCCAGGGUAUGUGGAUUGCUGUGAGUUUGAGGGCAAUCUGAUUUACAUAGCAAGUUCCAGUCUAGCCACAGCUACUCAGAACACUGCCUGCUCUUCCAGAGGACCCACAUUUGAUUUCUAGCACCCACCUUGGUCAGUUUACAACCACCUACAACUCCAGUUCCAGGAGAGAUAGAUACAAACAAAAGAAGUCUAAAUGAGUUUUUAAAACGUUUUAUCUUGAUUUUUUUUUAUGUGAAUGGGGUGAGUUUUGCCUUGCAUGCGUGUCUGUGUUCCACAUGAAUGUGCAUGCAGUACCCAUGGAGACAAGAAGAAGGUGUCAGAUCCCCUGGGACUGGAGUUACAGACCCAUCCGGGUCCUCUGGAAGAACAGGCAGAGCUCUUAACUGCUGUGCAGUUUCGCCAGCCUCUUUAAGAAAUGAAAAUUUUAGGGAGAGUUAUAGAGAAGCAAGGGGAUGUUGGAGAGAAGGCCACCAGUACUGUGACGGUUGGUACUGACAGUUAACUUGACAGGACUUAGAAUCACACAAGACACACGCUUAUGAGGCAUGCCUGUGAGGGAGCUUCUGGAUUGGGUUAUCUGAGGUAGAAAGACCCACGCUAAAUGUGGGUGGCAUCAUUCCAUGGGCUAAGGUCCCAGACUGAAUAAAAAGACUUGGUGGCAAGCGCCUUUAUUGGCUGAGCCAACUAGUUGGACUGCUUUAGACAUCCAAAUUCAUCUCAGAUUGCAUUUAAGAAACUAGAGGUGGGGCUUGAGAGGUGGUUCAGCAGUUAAGAGCAUAUUUAUUGCUCUUGCAGAGACCCUGGGUUUGAUUCCCAGCACUCACAUGAUUGACCAUAACUAUGUUAACUCCAGUUGCAGAAGGUCCAGGAUGUGACAUCUUCUUCUGCCCUCUGCAGGCACCCGGUAUACACAUAGUACACAGAUGCAUGCAAGCAAAACACUCAUAUAUCU
rnacentral:lncRNA from 1 species